rnacentral:rRNA from 1 species
AGAUUGAACGCUGGCGGCAUGCCUUACACAUGCAAGUCGAACGGCAGCACGGGAGCAAUCCUGGUGGCGAGUGGCGAACGGGUGAGUAAUACAUCGGAACGUGCCCAAUCGUGGGGGAUAACGCAGCGAAAGCUGUGCUAAUACCGCAUAAGAUCUACGGAUGAAAGCAGGGGAUCGCAAGACCUUGCGCGAAUGGAGCGGCCGAUGGCAGAUUAGGUAGUUGGUGAGGUAAAGGCUCACCAAGCCUUCGAUCUGUAGCUGGUCUGAGAGGACGACCAGCCACACUGGGACUGAGACACGGCCCAGACUCCUACGGGAGCAGCAGUGGGGAAUUUUGGACAAUGGGACGAAAGCCUGAUCCAGCCAUGCCGCGUGCAGGAUGAAGGCCUUGGUUGUAAACUGUCUUUGUACGGAACGAAAGUUCUCUUUACUAAUAAAGAGGAUACAUGACGUACCGUAAGAAUAAGACACGGACUAACUACGUACG